CUCUCUCAAUUUUAUAAUAAUAUCAAAACUUCCUCUCUCAAUACAAACUGAAACCCAGCUUAUGAACUUCAUUCCCACAGCUACUCUCUCAUCACUCACUCUCUCAAUCUCCCUCUCACUCUCUCAAUCUCCCUCUCAACUCUCUUUGACUUGCUCAAUCUCGCUAUCAAACUCUCCCACACGCUCUCAAUCUCCCUUUCAGUCUCACUCUCGCUCUCAUUCUCCGUCUUCCUCUUGCUCUCAGUCUCCCUCUCGCUCGGUUGCUUGGUCUCCCUCUCGCUCUGUUGCUCACGCUCUCGGUCUCCCUCUCACAAGAUAUGGACCCACAUGGAGCAGGACCCUCUAUAUGGACUUUGUUGACGAGGUAGGAUGAGCAUCGUUCAAGUUUGCUUUGGGAUGCUCAUUUGGAAGGUGAGGAUGUGCCAGGUGUAUUGACUUGUCGUCACCGAGAGAAAGGUCUGCUUGAAGGUGGGUUAGAUGGGUAAGAUCCACGAAUUGUCGCUUAUAUCACUGAUGCGGGGUUAGAUGGUCUAUUUCGGGUCCCACAUAUGGACCUUGACCACGCAUUGAUCACAGCGUUGGUGGAGAGAUGGCGGCCGGAGACGCACUCAUUCCACUUGCCCCAUGGUGAGAUGACCAUCACGCUACAAGAUAUGGAGGUUAUAAUGGGGGUUCCGAUAGAUGGCUUGCCGGUGGUGGGAUGUACAUCCCCGACAGUCAAUUGGCGCAACCUCUGCGGCAGGUUGCUAGAGCAUAGGCCGCCAGAGAGAGAACUUGGUCGUAAUAAGAACACUGGAAUGAUGGAAGGGCCGAGGGUAAAAGCCAAAUGGCUUGAGGAUUGGUUUAGCAACCCUCUCCCGGUUGACGCCCCUGAGGAGCUUGUGCAGAAGUAUUCUCGGUUUUAUAUAGUGGAGAUGUUAGGUGGUACGCUGUUUAUGGUCAAGUCUGGAGAACGGAUCUCAAUUAGGUAUCUGCAAUUUUUCGAUCCAAUCAGCAAUGGAAAGAAGUAUAGUUAGGGUA